AUGAAGAGUUUGAUCCUGGCUCAGGAUGAACGCUAGCGGCAGGCCUAACACAUGCAAGUCGAGGGGCAGCGGGGAGUGCUUGCACUCUGCCGGCGACCGGCGCACGGGUGCGUAACGCGUAUACAACCUACCUCUUACUAUUGGAUAGCCCAGAGAAAUUUGGAUUAAGCCAAUAUGGCACCACAUCACGGCAUCGUGUUUGUGGUUAAAGGUUACGGUAAGAGAUGGGUAUGCGUCCUAUUAGUUUGUUGGUAAGGUAACGGCUUACCAAGACUACGAUAGGUAGGGGCCCUGAGAGGGGGAUCCCCCACACUGGUACUGAGACACGGACCAGACUCCUACGGGAGGCAGCAGUGAGGAAUAUUGGACAAUGGGCGGGAGCCUGAUCCAGC
rnacentral:rRNA from 1 species